GCACUUUAACUGUUUCACAGAAGAGUCAUGUUUUAGGCAUAAGGGUGAUAAGCCAAAACUAAGAAGAAAGUGCCUGCCUUGGACCUUUAGGAUGAUACAUGCUAUGGACGAUGACCAAGGAGCAGUCUUGUUGGUUCUUUGGAUUAUCUAUCUUCAAGAAAUCAUGAAAAAAAAAAUGCAUCAAUGUCAUAUUUGUUCUUUUUCUACAGGAGCAUUUAGGGAAGGUAUUACAAUUUAUAUCUUCUGUGAGCCUAGAAUGAGGCAUCUUGCCAAAAAUAAAGAUUCAGAACCAAAUAACAUGCAAUGUAGCUCUAGAUUUGGCACAGUCUGGAAUUUGAGAAAUGUUAUUCUUGAUCAUAUUUUUGACUGAUUAGUCAUGUUGACGGGAAUAAUUUGUCACCAAACAUUAUGAAUGCAGCUGUAUGUUCACGUUUUUCUUUUUCCUAAAUUAUGUCCAUAUAUUCUUGAAAUAUGCUGCUUAUUUUCCUGAAAUCUGCUGUUUCUUAGAAAGGUCCCAA
rnacentral:misc_RNA from 1 species